rnacentral:rRNA from 1 species
CCUUGUGUAUACUAUUAUGUUGCUUUGGCAGCCCGUCUUUCUAGGCGGAGGCUCACGCCCCCAGCGGCUGCCAGAGGACCCUAAACUUUGAAAUACAGUGUCGUCUGAGUACUAUUUAAUAGUUAAAACUUUCAACAACGGAUCUCUUGGUUCUGGCAUCGAUGAAGAACGCAGCGAAAUGCGAUAAGUAAUGUGAAUUGCAGAAUUCAGUGAAUCAUCGAAUCUUUGAACGCACAUUGCGCCCCUUGGUAUUCCGAGGGGCAUGCCUGUUCGAGCGUCAUUUUGACCAACUCCUCUUUAUAGAGGGUCUUGGGCUUCGCCUCUGGGCGGGCCUCAAAAUCAGUGGCGGUGCUGUUAGGCUCUACGCGUAGUAAUAUCUCUCGCGACAGACCCCUAAUGGUUACUUGCCAGCAACCCCCAACUUCUUAAGGUUGACCUCGGAUCAGGUAGGGAUACCCGCUGAACUUAAG